UCCCGGUUGGAGCGCCAGGCCUGGGGCUCCCUGGGGCAGGCCCCUGGGCCAUCCUGCAGGCCAGAAUGGCCCCACUUACCGCUGAACUUACUUCUUCUGCUUCACUUAUUUCCCACAGACCCAGCUGCCAGUAAACAACUCGUCUGAAGAACUGGACCCAGGACUGUAGGUGAAAGGGGCUCAGCGCUGGCCCUGGCGACUCAGAUUCCAGAAACUUCUGUUUUUCUAACCAACUCCAGCUCAGGCAGGGCCGCUUGGAGAUACCUGGUUGGCAUCUGUCACUGAAGUGGGGACUCUCCGCAGAUGAAAGGACUCACAGCUUCGCCCCGUUACAAAGCCCUUCAAGGUCCCCAGCUCUAAGACUGGGCUGUAGCCAGGGGAGUGGGGAGACGUGGUGCGGAGAAAGAAAGCAACAAAGAGAUGGAAAAGGGGUGUCAACUGGGCCCUCUCCCCUGCCACCCGUGUCCCCCCACCCCCCCGUGCCUCACCGUGUGCAGACACCACAUACCCGAGCUCCACAGACAGCACCUCACCUGAGGGAGUGGGGACCGCGACUCCGCCGUUACCAGUUACCAGGUGCAUUGCUCGAGCCAGUCCAUCCAGGUCACCCUGGCCCCCUCCUGCCUUGUCCCAGAGGCGACAGUCUGAGCGGCCACGUGUCCGGCAGGGAAACCCCGAGGUAAGGAGGGAGUCUGCCUGGCCGCCCACUCCCCCUCUUGGGUAUAAAUCUUGGGGACCGGAAAUCCAAUAAAACUUCACCGUGUUGAUGAACUUCAAACGGUUUACAUCCCCUCCUGGC
rnacentral:lncRNA from 1 species